AUUGAACGCUGGCGGCAUGCCUAACACAUGCAAGUCGAGCGGAUAAAGGGAGCUUGUUCCUGGAUUCAGCGGCGGACGGGUGAGUAAUUCCUAGGAAUCUGCCUUGUAGAUGGGGAUAACGUCCCGAAACGGGCGCUAAUACCGCAUACGUCCUGAGGUAGAACGUGAGGGAUCUUCGGAGCUCGCGCUAUCAGCUGAGCCUAGGUCGCAUUAGCUAGUUGGUUAGGUAAGGGCCUACCAAGGCGACGAUCCGUAACUGGUCUGAGAGGAUGAUCUGUCACACUGGAACUGAGACACGGUCCAGACUCCUACGGGAGGCAGCAGUAGGGAAUCUUCGGCAAUGGGCGAAAGCCUGAUCCAGCAAUGCCGCGUGUGUGAAGAAGGUCUUCGGAUCGUAAAGCACUUUAAGUUGGGAGGAACAAAAGUAAGUUAAUACAUGGCUGUUUUGACGUUACCAAAAGAAUAAGCCCCGGCUAACUACGUG
rnacentral:rRNA from 1 species